GGGUGUCCGGGCGCGAUGGGUGGUGCGUCGCCAGACUGUAAAUCUGGUCCCUCCGGGUAAACAUUGGGGGUUCGAAUCCCUCGGCACCCACCA
rnacentral:tRNA from 1 species